UACGGAGGGGGCAAGCGUUGUUCGGAAUUACUGGGCGUAAAGCGCGCGUAGGCGGAUCUGCAAGUCGGGGGUGAAAUCCCGAGGCUCAACCUCGGAACUGCCUUCGAUACUGCGGGUCUCGAGUCCGGGAGAGGUGAGUGGAAUUCCUAGUGUAGAGGUGAAAUUCGUAGAUAUUAGGAAGAGCACCAGUGGCGAAGGCGGCUCACUGGCCCGGUACUGACGCUGAGGCGCGAAAGCGUGGGGAGCAAACAGG
rnacentral:rRNA from 1 species